rnacentral:rRNA from 1 species
GUACACUCCUGCGGGAGGCAGCAGUGGGGAAUAUUGGACAAUGGGCGCAAGCCUGAUCCAGCCAUGCCGCGUGAGUGAUGAAGGCCCUAGGGUUGUAAAGCUCUUUCACCGGAGAAGAUAAUGACGGUAUCCGGAGAAGAAGCCCCGGCUAACUUCGUGCCAGCAGCCGCGGUAAUACGAAGGGGGCUAGCGUUGUUCGGAAUUACUGGGCGUAAAGCGCACGUAGGCGGAUCGAUCAGUCAGGGGUGAAAUCCCAGGGCUCAACCCUGGAACUGCCUUUGAUACUGUCGAUCUGGAGUAUGGAAGAGGUGAGUGGAAUUCCGAGUGUAGAGGUGAAAUUCGUAGAUAUUCGGAGGAACACCAGUGGCGAAGGCGGCUCACUGGUCCAUUACUGACGCUGAGGUGCGAAAGCGUGGGGAGCAAACAGGAUUAGAAACCCCAGUAGUCC